CUCUUUUUUCUUUUCUUUCAUCUGUCUGGGUUUUGUUCUUCUUCUUGGUAUUCGGUCUUAUAUGAGGAGGCUGUGAUGAUUCUUGGACGAGGGUCUUACUACACUGUCGAGUGGGAAACUGGCUGUUUCUAAACGGCGAUGCAAUCUUGGAUGGUCUUCGGUUGUUCUUCUGAAGGCAACCGGUUGCAGCCGUUUCGACUUAGUUGCAGAGAUUGGUUAAUCUGAGCCCCAUCUUCAGAUUUCCUCUUCUCUGGCUUUCUUUUUUUCCAAAAUUUUGUUUUGCUAGGGUUUCUUUAAUAUCUAAUAUGAGUGGUGUCGCCCAUAAAGAAUUCAUGGCUAAUAGGGUUUCAAGAUCCCAAAUUCUCUUUCGAUUUAAUAUUCUAGUGGCUGAAAACUAGAUAUUAUGUGCUUGGUGUUUGGAUUUAUAACAUUCAAGGGAAUAAGGGUUCUGGUCUUCUCUGUAUCCCUUUAACCAACGGUAUGACAAAGCUUGGAGACCCAUUAGUGCUAUCCUCGAGACCUCGAAACAAAAUUUAUGUUGCCGUACUAAUUGUAGCUUGUUUCUCUGCAUCAUUGAAGGAGCCAUGGAAGUUCCAAGAAAUUUCUCUCCAGCCGGUAAGGUUACCCACUUCCCUUGAAUUUCUUGAAACCUCUUCUUCUUUUUUGAUUUUUUUUUUUCCUUUUAAGUUCUCAAGAUCCUAGUCAGAAUAGCGGACCUGGGUGCCUAAUUUGAGGAAGUUUUAAUUUUUAGACAAACAUCUUAAUAUUUUUAUUUUGUGAUUUUCAUCUUGUAAAUUAUAUCCUAUGAAAGUCAUUCUACUCUUAAUCUUUUGGGCUAAAAAAAUGCGUAUGUGGAGGUGAGUUCCUCUCUACUUUCUUUAUUCCUUUUAUCAUUCUCUCCCCCCUCUUUUUCUGCUGUCUGCAUGUUUACUGGUGCAAAACAGUUUGGGUAUGUGAAUUUUCAUGCAAUAUUGAAGGAUGCUAGAUAGAUAUCUUAUAUUCAACGAUUUCAUCAACUUACUGCUUACAGUUCCUAACCUUGUUAUUAGAAGCUUGCCUUGUUCUAAUUGAAUGUUGUAUAGUAGUAACAAGAUAUACAUUUGCAUGUGCCUUCAUGCAUAUGUACUUUGUGCUUGAUCGUGUGUGUAGUUAAAUUGCUUGUGACUAGAUUAACCUGGAAAGGAGAAAAAUAUGGUGUUCAGAAUCAAUUAUUCCCCUUAAAACUUAAUGCUGAAUGAUCUAUUACAGCUAGCCCUUGUAUCCAGGUUAAAGCUUGUUGGCUAAGGUUAAAUUAGAGAAUGUAAUGCAUAAGUAUUUUUAAUGGUGUAUAACGCCACAUGGGUAAGCUACAUUGUACUACUACUGUAUUUGUUAACCUCAUGUGAUAUUAUUGCUUAUUAAUGCAUAAAUAGAAAGUUUUAUGCUAUUUAUUGCAAAAGCUUAGGUAUCAGUUCAUUUCAUACUCUGUUUGCCAAAAAAAAAAAGGACCGUUCUCUCUAACAUGUUUCUUGCUAUACUUGAGUGCUAUAAGGCCAUGGAAGUAUGUUCAUAUUAUCAAUAUGGGCAUUUAUCGUUGGACUUUUCAUAUUGAAUUGCUCAUGUGGUUAUUUAUGGAAUUAAUUUGCUUUACAGAGGAUCUGCCUUAAAAGGAAUUGUGGUUAAAAGAGCUCAUCUAGAUUGUGGUGACAGCAAAUGUAUCUGUUUUCAGGUAAUGGGCCUACCUGACUUCAUCUUCUAAUAAUGACAAUAUUAUCAUGUGGCAGUGGCUAAGGCGGCUCUGGAAGGCCUGCUGUUCUGCAGGCAACCAAUCUGCAAUUGUUGUGCGUAUAUUAGAGUGUGGGUAUUAAGGUGAUGAUUGGUGACUUGAAAGGGUCAUUUCUUUUCUUCCUUGCAUGUCUUCUCUGGCAAAAGGCAUGGUAGCUCUGGAAGGCCUGCUGUUCUGCAGGCAACUACUCUGCAAUCAUUUUGUGUAUGCGUGAGUGUGUAUCAAGGUAACCAAUCUGAAAUCUUUGUUAGAUGUAGAGGAGAGGGGAUCGUUUGGUCCUAUUGAUUCAAGAAUUCCUCUAAGCCUCAUCCUCCUCCAUGUAGAUGUGUGAGUAUGAAUGUAUUGAGGCGGCCAGUCUGCAACCACUGUUAGAUAGGGAAGAGGUGGGCGAAUCUUUCAGAGGUAUUCAAGAAUUCCUCUGAGGGAGGAUCUUUUGGUUCUAUUAAUUCCAGAAUUCCUGUGAGCACGUCCUCUGCUUCAUCUUCCAUGUGUGUGUGAGUGUGUAUGUAUUAAGGCGAUGAUGGGUGGCUUAUAAGGGUCAUUUCUCCUAUUAUUUCCAUGUUGUAUUCUCUAGCAAUAGGCAAGGCAGCUAUGGAAGGUUUGCUGUUCUGCCAGCAACUAAUCUGCAGCCAUUGUUGAAUGGGGAAGAGGAGGGGGAUCUUUAGGUCCUAUUGAUUCAAGAAUUCCUCUAAGCUUCUUUUCAUUAUCACAAAGUUCUUCACUUUCUUUUUUCCAGUUCAUGUUCUUGUUCUUCCAAGUGGGUAAUAGUAAGUGGCAUUUUGCUUCUUGCCAUCUUUUGCUCUUUCUUAUGUAUU